UUUUCGUAAAAAUAAAAUUCAAGUUCAUUAUUGGGCUGUACUCGUCCGUAAUAAGCUAUGUUAAAUAUGAUGUAUUUUAGGUUCAUUUAAUGAUAUUAAGUUUAAAUUUGAUUAAAGAAAACUCAUUAAUUUAACUGGAAAAGACAAGCAUUAAAAUAAGUAGGUUCAUUUAAUGACAUUAAGUUUAUAUUUGAAUAAGGAAAACACAUUAAUAUAACUGAAAAAGGCAAGCAUUAAAAUAGAAAAUUCAAUUUAAUUUUUAGUGGCAUAGAAGUGUAAUUAACUUUAAAAACUAAGGGGUAUUUUCUAAUGGGUACUUCUCUUUUAAUAAUAGAGAUGAUUGGAUUUCAUAACAUGAAAGAACAUAAAAAUUUAAAUAAAAAAAUACAUAAAAACUUAUUAAAAAUACAAAUACAAAUUGUAAACAAAAAAAAACUGAUUAGUUGAAAUCUUGAUUUGUUCCAAAAUUUUGUCAUAUAUUCACAACCAAAUUACCUUUCAAUUGUUGAUGUAUUGUUUUAUCACGAACUCGUUUCUGAAUGCUCAUCAUAUUGCCGAGAUUUGAAGGCAUAUAUGUACGAAACGUGAAAUCCACUUGUGAACUUUGGUUUGAUUCCGGUUGUGCGAAAAUUGUUUGUACUUGUAUUUGAAUCACAAGUGUCUUCUUGUGUAAUCACAUAUGUAGACUUGUAUUUGCAUUACUGGAAGACUAGUAUUUGCAUUCAUAAUGAUUAAGGUUCGGAUAUAUACAUUUAUUUCUUGUGUCACAAGUGUAAUAUAAUGCAAUCACAACUUACGAUAUACAGUUUCACAAAGGUGUUGUGCAUGAUUCGAAUUUCAAACAAAUCAGAGUACUGAUCAGUAGUUACAUGUCUUCUUGUAUCUACUCCCAUAUCUUCUUGUGUCUAUUCUCAUGUAUUCUUGUCUCACAUGUAUUCUUCUUCCACCUGCAAAAAAAAAGAUCAGACACAAAGACAACAAACCAAGACGACAACAAAGACUUCAAACACACAUUUGCUUGCUUGCAGGGGCAGACCAAGACAACAACAGAAGCAUUUACCAUUAACCAAUAACAUCCAAACUCAACAUUAAGCAAUAUAGAGACAGCAAAAGCAGAAGCAUUAACCAUUAACCAAUAACCUCCAAACUCAACAUUAAGCAAUAUAGAGUUUCUGCAACCAAACAGCUAAAGUUAACAGAGAGAAGAAAACCCAGAUCAGAAGAAAAGACUAAAAAAUUCUAAAGAACGUGAUAAAACCACAAUGUAAUGAGUCUCACAUGCUCUAAAACACUUAUUUCUCUUACUGUCUUUUGAGUACAACAACAACAAACAGAUACAUAAGCUUCAUAACAUAAACCGAGUUCGAGAUAAGUAAUUAAGAGUUUUAUUCACGAGUUCCCGGUUGCUUGUUCCCACGAGUUCAUGACAUGGUUGACAAUUUCCUCGACCCCAAGACCAUGCUUCACCUGGAAAAAUAGUUUAGUAAUCAGACAAAAGUCAUCGGAAAGAAACAGAGACGGUGAUGAGGCUUCAAGGUGAUUUCACGGACAGAUUUGGAGAAGGAGAGAAACGAUGACAACGAGUUCUCAGACAGAAAAACAAAACCGACGAAGAGAGAGACGGCCAAUAGAAAGAGGGCAUGUAUGGGGUGCUUAGUGGUUCCAAAACCCCUUAGUUAGACACGGGUUCUCUUGAUUUUUCCUUUUUUUAUUUAUUUAUUUUGGUUUUUUUAAGAACCCCUUUAAGCCUCUAAGAGCAGCAUUAACGGGAGGUUUUAAGUGGGGUGCUUAGGUUUUUUUGUAAUUAAAAAAAAAGAAAAAUCACAAUUACCUUAAGCAGCGGAGCUUAAUUAAGAGGAAGAAGCACCGGCUCUUGAUACACGUGUCGUCUUCCAUCCUCUCCCGUUUUCUCCUUCUCACCGCCGUCAAUGCUUCGUAACGAUGGCCACAAUCUUCUUCUCUUCCUCUCCACUUGCUUGAAACGGACAAAAAUGGCCACCAUAAACCCUAUUUUAUCUUCGCGCCUGCUCACUCUCUUCAAGCUGGGUCGAUUAACUUCUCUUAUGGCCAUGGGGGGUUCCUUCACCUCCCACAGUAACCCUCUCUAUGGUCUUUCUAUUUUAUUUGUUCUAGUGGUGUUUGACUUUCAAGCUCGCUUAUGGGUUUCAUGAAAUACAGUAGCUUUGUUCAUAUCUUCUGUAAAGUUUUAAUCUUUCUUGGUGUCUUUAUUGAUGGUUUAGUUUGCUGAGACUUUACUUGAUUGUGGAUUAAUCUGUUCUGUUUCGUAGCAUUUAGGCUCAUUUCUCUAUUGUGGUUUUGGUUUUCAAGCUCGCUAAUGGGUUUCAGGAAAGACAGUAACUUAGUUAUGUCUUCAUUGAUGUUUUAAUAUGCUCUGUCUCGUCAUUUAUAUGGGUUCUAGCCUCAGUUUGUUAAGACUUCACUUGAUUGUGUACUAUUCUGCUCUGUUUUAUAGUUCUUAGGUUCAAUUUUCAGGAGAAUGCAAUAACUUUGUGGUGUCUCCAGCCCAUUGAAGUUUUAAUUUGUUAUGUCAUGUAACUUUUCCGGGUUUUAAGUUGAAUUUGUUCUUGUAAAUUUCAGGAGAUUAGCUUCGACAGAAGGUUAUUCCACCUCCACAGUUUGUCAUCCAGAACCAGUAUGAGUUCUUCGUCCAGCGUAUGGGAGGCCCUCCUCUGUAUUCUCAAAGGAAAGGCUGCGAUUGAACUAUGGCUAGCCGCAAUGAUCCCUUACAGAUUGCAACUUCCUAACUGUUUUGUAUAUUGGGUUUGUGGGAGCUCACACAAUGCCGGUUCUGUAUGAGAAAUAUGAAGACGAAGUUGGUGGUUUUGUUGAUUCUCUGCUCAUGAAGUUUCACAGUCACUAUAAGAAGAUGGAUACUGGCUUUCUCAGUCGAAUUCCAAGUGGAAGGUUUGGGUUCAAGAAGCAUGACUAAAUCAACUUGUUUAUCUGUGGAUGAAAGGUAUGUGUAGCUUGGUUUACUCUUGAACGUCUUCUUCUUGGUUUACUCUUAUAGGAUGUUUCAAACAAUGUUGGCUUACUUUCUGAUGAUGGCAAUAGAUUUUACAAACCAAAGUGUUUCUUAAUUUUUUUUUGAUCUUUUAAUAUGUUUUAUAUAAUAAAUAAAUUUUAUCUUAAAUAAAACAAUGUUUAAUUUUUUUUUAAGAACCCCUAAAUAAGAUACUUGCAUUGGAGGACAAAAUUUAGAGGUUGCUUAAAAAAAGUGUUUAUCACCCAUUUAUUAUUAAAAAAGUGAUUAAGCACCCCAUUAGGGGUGCUAGGGUUAAUGGUGCUCUAAGUUGGAGGUAGUCUUAGGUUAAUAUAGUUUUGGUUACGUUCGGGUGGGUUCGGUUAUCCGGUAAUAACAUAUCGGGUUUGGUUAUUUGAAAAUGGUAAAAAUGAUAACCGAUCAGAUAUUUAUCACAGCCCGAACCGAACCGCUUACUUUGGUUCAGGUUCGGGUUAUAAUGUCCACACGUAAUGUCAUGUAUUCUGAGUAAGUUAACAAAAGAGAAAUUACAGUUCAUAUACAAAUAUAACUACAUAAUUUGCAUGUAUGUACUUUUCCUUUUUCUGCUUAUGUGUUUUUUUAAUCACUCGUCUACCCAUAUUCUUCGAAUACUACAACCUAAAGCUUAUCUCCCUUCUAUCCCAUCUCUCCUCCCUCAUCUUUCUUUUCUCCUCUCUUAUCUCUUUCUCCUAUGUCCACAGAUCCCACCUCUCUCAUUUUAUCUCUUUCUUUAAAGUUUCUUAAAUUUUCUAUGUCUCUUAAUCUCACCUCUCUUUUUCUCUUCAAAUUUUUCAAGUUCCCUUCUUUGCUAUUGCCGUCACACCGUCGCACCAUCUCACCGUCACGCCAUCACACCAUUACAUCUGCUCAAGCUCGCUAUCACAAUAUAAUUACCUCUCCUCAGCUCAGGCUCACCGUCACACCGUCACCUCGCGUUUGCAACAGCUCGCCUUCAUUUCAGUCUGGUGAGGAAUGAUAUAGGAUGCUAUAUAGGAGGAAGAAGAAAAAGAGGAGAGAAAAAAAAUAAAAAGAUGAGAGAGGAUGAAAAAGAAGAAGAAGAUAAGAAAGGAGGUUCCCGGAGACGACGACGGACUAAUGGUCUGGCUGUUUACUAUAUCGAAAAACAUAUGUGGACGGAUAACUAUAGUCGAGAAACUAUAUGUAGCCGAAUAACUAUAAUCGGAAAAGUAAUUAAUUUUUUAUUUGAUAUAUGAUUAUAGCCGGAUAACUAUAUUGCGCUAAAUGUAUUUUUUAUUUGAGUGAAGAAAUGAACACUAGCUAAGAGUAUUGAUAUCCAGAUAAUUAGUAUAUACUACCUAACUUAUUGGAUAUGAACAACAUGAUUCUGUGAAACAUACAUGUUAUGUCAUUCAAGUAUAAUUUAAUAGUGACCAUCCAAUACGUAUGUUAUCUGAGAUAACCAGAUAAUAACUAACAACCAUUAGAUAACUACAACCAUUAUAAAUACACAUGUCUCAUAUCAAUAGAGACAAAUACAUGUUAUAUUAUUACAAAUAAAAGAUAACUGACCACUAAUUUAAAUAACCAUCAACUAUUAGAAUUAACCGACUACUAAUUUAAAUAACCAGAAACUAUUAGAAAUAACUGAAUAAUUGUAUGUUUAUAGAUAUAUCAAUAGAGACACAUAUGUGUUAUAUUAUUGGAGACAAAAAUAACCGACUACUAACUUAAAUAACUAGCAACUACUUGAGAUAACCGGUAUACAUUAUAAGUUAGGUAUACAAUGUAGCCAAAUAAAUAUAUUGCAUUUGGUAUUAUGAUAUUUCAUGUGUGUUUUUGUAACCGGCUAACUAUAGCAAAAAAUGAUAAGUAAAAUCCAUUAACCAGUAAUUUCACAAAUUACAUCAUUAAAGAAAAGUGAAAUUUUUUUUCAGUAACUACGGUAACAACUAAGAAGAAGAACACGACUCGAGUACUUUACCCUUAACCAACUCUGUCUUCUGAACUGACCCACCGGAGAUGGUACUUGGCCACGGUAAUGCAGCGGAGGCGCGAUGGAUGGUGAUGGUUAGAAAGUUAACAUUUUUUGGAGCAUGAAGUGAGAAAGAGCUUUGUUUUACUAUAAACCUAAAAAAAUCUGAUGGAGAGCAGUGGAAGAGACAACGGGAAAGCGAUCCUUGAUUGUUUCUCUUGGGAACAGCCCUUGCCUGCGGAAACAUAAAUGGCUCACCCGCUUUUUCCAAAGACGAGUCCACACACGCGCCGCCGUGCAACCACAUUCAAAACUAACAUGUCCUUCAUGCAUGUGAUCCAUUAGAAAAAACAAGUUUUCGUACUACGAAUGUGGACACACUUUGAGGAGAGACAAAAGUUUUUGGAUUGAAUUUAAUUUUUUUUUACAAAAAAAAAGCUGAGAAUUGAACAUGCAAAGAAGAAAGAGAUAAACAAGAAUGUAUUAAAAAUAAAUAAUAGAAUGAGCGUGAGAGAGAGAGAGAGACUACACAAAUUCAAACGGUUGUGUGUAUAAAGACUCAUGAUUACAUGAAUGUAAUCAUUACGCAACCCCCACUUGUUAAAGAAAUAAGGUAUAUAAGGUAUAGGGGCAUCAAAGAAUUUUCUCACUGGCAGAAGUUGGGCCUAGCGUUUGGACCACCGGUUUUUUCAUGGCGCGAAGUAUUAAAUCUUUCUAUAUUUUAAUUGCAAAUCGCUCAAUAUAAAUUUUGUUUAAUUAGGUAAAUAACAUUGUAUUCAUAGAAUGUGUAAGUUUUCUGGUUAGAUUAAAAAGUUUGGUUUAAAUUCGGUAGGUUAAAAUUAACUUGGUUAAAUCCGGUUAGGUUUAAAUGCUACCAGUGCGUAGACUUCUUUGUAAGUCUACAAUUAUUUUUAUUUUUUUUGUUCUUUUUUCUUAUAUUUUUUUUAAUAAUAAUAUAUGAUUCACUGAUUUUCUUUCUUUAACUUUUAAUAGUUAUAAUAUAUGAUUUCACAUUUUUAUUCAUAAAGAUCUAAAUUUAAUUUUAAAAAGAAUGAUAUUUUUGUAAUAAUCAAUUAUAGUAGACUAAAAACUGUCUAAAAUGAAAUAGACUUUAUUGUAAGUCUACUUUACCCUAAAUCAAAAAUAUGAAACCCUAAAUGUUUGAUUGAUAAUAAAAAACUCUCAGUUAUUGUAUCAAAUAUUGAAAUAUACAAAAUAUAAACUACACAAUAUUAAAUGUGGUACUAGGAAUGUGGCAUUUUGGUAAUUUACCAAACAAAUAUUUUUAUACAUUAGAUCAAAUUAUGAUGUAGAAUACAAAAUAAGUCUACAUACUUGUAAACUUCUUUCUAAUACAUUUAGACUUCCGAAGGACAUAAUCAUAAAAUAACUUUCUGGUUUUUUUUGUUUGAUCAUAAAGGUUAAAUAAUAAUUUUACCAUCUUUUUAGGUUUUUUUUUUGCAUUUGAUUAGAUAUGAAGUUCACCUUUAUGUUUAAAAGGAAUAUAUAUAUUUUUUUUUAGGAAAUUACGUUUUUUGUGUUAUUUACCUCAUCAUAUACAUUUGUUAUGUGUGGUUCUAGAGCACCAAACCUGUAGUACAAUGACCAUUUUGUCACCACAGUUCACAAAUUUUUAUUCUCACAAUUAUUUAAAAAUUGUGAUUUUCACCAACCCAGACUAGUAAGUGCAAAAUUACCAAAUUAGGGUUUAUAUAUGUAUUAUAUCUACAAGUAGAAGAUAUUAUUUGAAUUAAAAAAUUAUGUUAACUAGUUUCUAGAAUUAAAUUUCAGUUUCAAAAUUUUGACUUUUAUUAAACAUACAUGCUUUUUAAAUGUGAUUUUAUAAAUUUAAAAUGGACCUAAUAUAUUGUUCACUCAAAAUAAAAAUCUAUUACUAUACUAAGUCAUCGGGGAAAAGUCAAAGCAACGUUAUUCCCUACCUCCGAAAACAAAGAAAAAAAGAGAACUGAAAAAUAUAACUACAAACUGAGAAAAAUUUGCGUGGCCACACCAACACACGAAUUUGCCGUUGCAAAUUAAUUCAAGUUAACUAUAUAUAACUACAUUCAUAAAUAGUGCUUAAUACAGUUUUGUUACUUUUGAUUACGAAGACAACAAAAUGGAUGCUUCACAUAGCCGUCGUCGAGGCUACAUCUCGCUUCUAGUUAUAUCUUAUUCCUAUGUGUUUGGUUUAGCUUCCAAUUUAAAUAUUUCUAAUGAUGCAAGAGGCAGCAAAAUCGAAAUUACCAAUUCUCGAUCUUCUUCCACUGACUAU